GACGAACGCUGGCGGCGUGCUUAACACAUGCAAGUCGAACGGAAAGGCCCUGCUUGCAGGGUACUCGAGUGGCGAACGGGUGAGUAACACGUGGGUGAUCUGCCCUGCACUUCGGGAUAAGCUUGGGAAACUGGGUCUAAUACCGGAUAGGAGCCAUCUUUAGUGUGGUGGUUGGAAAGUUUUUUCGGUGUAGGAUGAGCUCGCGGCCUAUCAGCUUGUUGGUGGGGUAAUGGCCUACCAAGGCGGCGACGGGUAGCCGGCCUGAGAGGGUGUACGGCCAAAUUGGGACUGAGAGACAGCCCAGAGUCCUACGGGAGGCAGCAGUGGGGAAUAUUGCACAGUGGGCGCAAGCCUGAUGCAGCGACGCCGCGUGGGGGAUGAAGGCCUUCGGGUUGUAAACUCCUUUCGCUAGGGACGAAGCUUUUUUGUGACGGUACCUAGAUAAGAAGCACCGGCUAACUACGUG
rnacentral:rRNA from 1 species